rnacentral:rRNA from 2 species
UGCAAGUCGAGCGGACCUGAUGGAGUGCUUGCACUCCUGAUGGUUAGCGGCGGACGGGUGAGUAACACGUAGGCAACCUGCCCUCAAGACUGGGAUAACUACCGGAAACGGUAGCUAAUACCGGAUAAUUUAUUUCACAGCAUUGUGGAAUAAUGAAAGACGGAGCAAUCUGUCACUUGGGGAUGGGCCUGCGGCGCAUUAGCUAGUUGGUGGGGUAAUGGCUCACCAAGGCGACGAUGCGUAGCCGACCUGAGAGGGUGAACGGCCACACUGGGACUGAGACACGGCCCAGACUCCUACGGGAGGCAGCAGUAGGGAAUCUUCCGCAAUGGGCGAAAGCCUGACGGAGCAACGCCGCGUGAGUGAUGAAGGUUUUCGGAUCGUAAAGCUCUGUUGCCAAGGAAGAACGUCUUCUAGAGUAACUGCUAGGAGAGUGACGGUACUUGAGAAGAAAGCCCCGGCUAACUACGUGCCAGCAGCCGCGGUAAUACGUAGGGGGCAAGCGUUGUCCGGAAUUAUUGGGCGUAAAGCGCGCGCAGGCGGUUCUUUAAGUCUGGUGUUUAAACCCGAGGCUCAACUUCGGGUCGCACUGGAACUGGGGGACUUGAGUGCAGAAGAGGAGAGUGGAAUUCCACGUGUAGCGGUGAAAUGCGUAGAUAUGUGGAGGAACACCAGUGGCGAAAGCGACUCUCUGGGCUGUAACUGACGCUGAGGCGCGAAAGCGUGGGGAGCAACAGGAUUAGAUACCCUGGUAGUCACGCCGUAAACGAUGAAUGUUAGGUGUUAGGGGUUUCGAUACCCUUGGUGCGGAAGUUAACACAUUAAGCAUUCCGCCUGGGGAGUACGGUCCCAAGACUGAAAUUCAAAGGAAUUGACGGGGACCCGCCCAACCAGUGGAGUAUGUGGUUUAAUUGGAAGCAACGGGAAGACCCUUACCAAGUCUUGACAUCCUUCUGAAUCCUUUAGAGAUAGAGGCGCCUUUCGGGACAGAGGUGCCAGGUGGUGCAUGGUUGUCGUCAGCUGGUGUCGUGAGAUGUUGGGUUAAGUCCCGCAACGAGCCCAACCCUUGAUUUUAGUUGCCACCACUUAGGGUGGGCACUCUAGAAUGACUGCCGGUGACAAACCGGAGGAAGGCGGGGAUGACGUCAAAUCAUCAUGCCCCUUAUGACUUGGGCUACACACGUACUACAAUGGCUGGUACAACGGGAAGCGAAGCCGCGAGGUGGAGCCAAUCCUAUAAAAGCCAGUCUCAGUUCGGAUUGCAGGCUGCAACUCGCCUGCAUGAAGUCGGAAUUGCUAGUAAUCGCGGAUCAGC